rnacentral:rRNA from 1 species
ACCGGCCCACAUUUGGGGCUGAGAUACGGGCCCCAGACUCCUACGGGGAGGGCAGCAGUGGGGGAAUAUUUGCACAAUGGGGCGGAAGCCUGAUGCAGCAACGCCGCGUGCGGGAUGACGGCCUUCGGGUUGUAAACCGCUUUCGCCUGUGACGAAGCGUGAGUGACGGUAAUGGGUAAAGAAGCACCGGCUAACUACGUGCCAGCAGCCGCGGUGAUACGUAGGGUGCGAGCGUUGUCCGGAUUUAUUGGGCGUAAAGGGCUCGUAGGUGGUUGAUCGCGUCGGAAGUGAAAUCUUGGGGCUUAAGCGGCAGCGUGAAUUCGAUACGGGUUGACUUGAGGAAGGUAGGGGAGAAUGGAAUUCCUGGUGGAGCGGUGGAAUGCGCAGAUAUCAGGAGGAACACCAGUGGCGAAGGCGGUUCUCUGGACCUUUCCUGACGCUGAGGAGCGAAAGCGUGGGGAGCGAACUAGGCUUAGAUACCCUGGUAGUCCACGCUGUAAACGGUGGGUACUAGGUGUGGGGUCCAUUCCACGGAUUCCGUGCCGUAGCUAACGCUUUAAAGUACCCCGCCUGGGGAGUACGGCCGCAAG